UGGAAGGAUAUAAAGAGAGGGGAUUACAGUAAGGUUAAGGAAGAGAUUAAAGGAUAUAAAGAGAGGGGGAUUACAGUAAGGUUAAGGAAGAGAUGGAAGGAUAUAAAGAGAGGGGGAUUACAGUAAGGUUAAGGAAGAGAUUAAAGGAUAUAAAGAGAGGGGGAUUACAGUAAGGUUAAGGAAGAGAUGGAAGGAUAUAAAGAGAGGGGGAUUACAGUAAGGUUAAGGAAGAGAUGGAAGGAUAUAAAGAGAGGGGGAUUACAGUAAGGUUAAGGAAGAGAUGGAAGGAUAUAAAGAGAGGGGGAUUACAGUAAGGUUAAGGAAGAGAUGGAAGGAUAUAAAGAGAGGGGGAUUACAGUAAGGUUAAGGAAGAGAUGGAAGGAUAUAAAGAGAGGGGGAUUACAGUAAGGUUAAGGAAGAGAUGGAAGGAUAUAAAGAGAGGGGGAUUACAGUAAGGUUAAGGAAGAGAUGGAAGGAUAUAAAGAGAGGGGGAUUACAGUAAGGUUAAGGAAGAGAUGGAAGGAUAUAAAGAGAGGGGGAUUACAGUAAGGUUAAGGAAGAGAUGGAAGGAUAUAAAGAGAGGGGGAUUACAGUAAGGUUAAGGAAGAGAUGGAAGGAUAUAAAGAGAGGGGGAUUACAGUAAGGUUAAGGAAGAGAUGGAAGGAUAUAAAGAGAGGGGGAUUACAGUAAGGUUAAGGAAGAGAUGGAAGGAUAUAAAGAGAGGGGGAUUACAGUAAGGUUAAGGAA